CCUCUUGCCAUGGAAGCACAUGAACUUAUCUGAAGCUGCUGGCUUCAGUGGCUUCUAAGCACAUUUGCCCAACCACCAGUCAUGCGUUUAGUGUCCAUGGAUGACAGGACUUGUCCAUGUCUCCAAGGCCACAGGCAGAUGAUUGCUGGAGGAUAAAUUCUUGCAUCCCAAUUCAAAUUCAUCUCCUACUCCAAAUCCCAACCUCAAUAUGACUAUGAAGUCUGAAGGGCUCCACAGCUCCUGUCUUCUCUCUGUUACAUUGUUUCUUCCUUUCACAUCCCUCCUCUGCCUCACUACCCUUUUUCCUUCCUUCUCUUCUCCCCUUCUACCUCUCCCCCAAACACUUUAUCUCUCCCAUCUUCUCUUCCUUCUAUCCUUCUUCCACAUAAGCUACACAGGGAAAUCUCUUUCCUCUCUACCCUUAUCCUUUAAACACAAAAUCAAUCUUGAGUAUCUUUUGAGCUCCCUGUUCUCAUACUGGCUGGAGGCUGGGGAUAGCUAGAAGAGUUCUGGAUGUGCUUUUUAGCCUGAUUUGUCUAAGAUGCUGGUGGGAACUGGGAUCUCUGCUCCUAUUGAGUCAGAGUUGCAUGCUUGAAGGUGAUAGCUCAUGACUGGCCCAUCCUGGAAACUAUUAAGAAAGAAAGUGUGAAGGUCUGUCAGUCAACUAUAUGUAUGAAGUAUCCAGUCUAUUCAAAACCCUGCACUCAGUGCUGUGGAAAGAUUGGAAAGAAGCAAACAGUCCUUGCUCAAAAUAAAAGAGACACAUAUCUAGAAAUGCCUAAACAAGUGUAAGCAUAUUGCAGCUGCCUAAAGCAAUCCUCUAUCAGAACAGCACAAGGUAAAAAGGGUGAGUAUACAAAUUAUGUUAACGGCCAAAGAGCAGGUUUUCUUCAUUGAAGUCAAAGGUUUAUGUCAGAAUUGUAAGAGGCAAGGAUAGCUGGAAAGGGAACAGAAAGCAGAAAAUUCAAUCUAUGGAGAUAACUGUUUUGCAUGUCCAUUUCAUUCCAGCCUCUGAUGAUACAGCC
rnacentral:lncRNA from 1 species